rnacentral:lncRNA from 1 species
UUCAAUCAAAAAUCAUAGUAGUAAGCCAUGUGGGAUGUCCCAUAUAAAUAGAGGACCAAAGGAUGUCACAUGAGAUAAAGGGGCGCCAACCUUUGGCGCUCCAACUUCUCAUGCGGUGAAUAAAUUCACCAUGUGGAAUUUUUGGUACAUCAGAUGCUUGCAACAAAAGAACUCUUCCUCCUCUAUGUGCCAUAAAAUUUUCACAUUAAAUUGGAAUUAAAUCAUAGGAUAUC